rnacentral:rRNA from 1 species
AUGCCCCUAAGUCCAGGCCAUUCAGGCGUAGGCGAUGGGAAGCAGGUUCAAUAUUCCUGCACCGCCGAUGGGCGAUUAAGACGCGAUGGAGUACUCGGAAAGUUAGAUCAGCCGUCGAUUGGAAGUGACGGUUCAAGCCCGUAGGGGUGUGGCCAGGCAAACCCGGCCGCGCAACCUGAAAGGUGAUGAGACGUGGAGGCUUCGGCCGAAGCGGAUUGAUUGACACUCGGCCGACAAGAAAAGCUUCUAGCGAGCCCAUAGGCGACCGUAUCGGAAACCGACACAGGUGGGAGGGUAGAAUAUACCAAGGCGCGCGAGAGAAACCUCGUUAAGGAACUCGGCAAUCUAGCCCCGUAACUUCGGAAGAAGGGGUCCUGCAGACCGUCAGUUUAACUACGAAGCGGACCGCAGGCGCAGUGAAAGGGCCCAGGCGACUGUUUAUCAAAAACACAGCACUAUGCCAACUCGCAAGAGGAUGUAUAUGGUGUGACACGUGACCAAUGCCGUAAGGUUAAGGCAAGGGGUUAGCCGCAAGGCGAAGCUCUGAACCGAAGCCCCGGUGAAUGUCGGCCGUAACUAUAACGGUCCUAAGGUAGCGAAAUUCCUUGUCGGGUAAGUUCCGACCUGCACGAAUCGUGUAACGAUCUGGGCGCUGUCUCAACGAGGAUCUCGGUGAAGUUGUAAUUCCGGUGAAAAUGCCGGAUACCCGCAGUAGGACGGUAAGACCCUGUGAACCUUUACUGUAUCUGAUAUUGGGUUUUGGUUGGUUAUAUGUAGCAUAGCUGGGAGGCUGUGAAGCGAUCUCGUCAGGGACCGCGGAGCCGUCAGUGAAAUACCAGUUUUAAUUAACCGGAAUUCUAACCGCGAGCCGUGCAACCGGCUCCGGGACCGUGUCAGAGGGUCAGUUUGACUGGGGCGGUUUCCUCCCAAAAGAUAACGGAGGAGUUCUAAGGUCACCUCAGCAUGGUCGGCAAUCAUGCGUAGAGCGUAUAGGUAGAAGGUGGCUUGACUGCGAGACCCACAAGUCGAGCAGGUGCGAAAGCAGGACUAAGUGAUCCGGCGGUUGCUAGUGGUAGCGCCGUCGCUCAACGGACAAAAGGUACUCCGGGGAUAACAGGCUUAUCGCCGCCAAGAGUCCAUAUCGACGCGGCGGUUUGGCACCUCGAUGUCGGCUCAUCACAUCCUGGGGCUGAAGAAGGUCCCGAGGGUUUGGCUGUUCGCCAAUUAAAGUGGUACGCGAGCUGGGUUCAAAACGUCGUGAGACAGUUUGGUCCAUAUCCACUGUGGGCGUUGGAGAUUUGAGGAGAACAUUCCUUAGUACGAGAGGACCGGGAAUGACGCACCUCUGGUGUUUCGGUUGUCGCGCCAGCGGCAUCGCCGAGUAGCUAUGUGCGGAAUGGAUAAGCUCUGAAUGCAUCUAAGAGCCAAGCCGACUUCAAGAUUGGAUCUCCCUUGCUGGUUCGCCAGCACUAAAGGCCGGUUGAAAACUACGACCUUGAUAGGGCGGGUGUGUACGUGCUGCGAGGCAUUUAGCUAACCGCUACUAAUCAGCCGUGAGGCUUGACC